rnacentral:rRNA from 1 species
UACAGAGGUCCCAAGCGUUGUUCGGAUUCACUGGGCGUAAAGGGUGCGUAGGCGGUCGGGUAAGUCUGACGUGAAAUCUCCGGGCCUAACCCGGAAACUGCGUUGGAAACUGCCUGGCUAGAGGAACGGAGGGGAGACUGGAAUACUUGGUGUAGCAGUGAAAUGCGUAGAUAUCAAGUGGAACACCAGUGGCGAAGGCGAGUCUCUGGACAUUUCCUGACGCUGAGGCACGAAAGCCAGGGGAGCGAACGGG